rnacentral:rRNA from 1 species
AGUUACGCUAAUACCGCAUACGAUCUAAGGAUGAAAGCAGGGGACCGCAAGGCCUUGUGCUCCUGGAGCGGCCGAUAUCUGAUUAGCUAGUUGGUGAGGUAAAGGCUCACCAAGGCGACGAUCAGUAGCUGGUCUGAGAGGACGACCAGCCACACUGGAACUGAGACACGGUCCAGACUCCUACGGGAGGCAGCAGUGGGGAAUUUUGGACAAUGGGGGCAACCCUGAUCCAGCAAUGCCGCGUGAGUGAAGAAGGCCUUCGGGUUGUAAAGCUCUUUUGUCAGGGAAGAAAAGGUCGUGGCUAAUAUCCACGGCUCAUGACGGUACCUGAAGAAUAAGCACCGGCUAACUACGUGCCAGCAGCCGCGGUAAUACGUAGGGUGCAAGCGUUAAUCGGAAUUACUGGGCGUAAAGCGUGCGCAGGCGGUUUUGUAAGUCUG